UGCAGUCGAGGGGCAGCAUCAUCAAAGCUUGCUUUGAUGGAUGGCGACCGGCGCACGGGUGAGUAACACGUAUCCAACCUGCCGACAACACUGGGAUAGCCUUUCGAAAGAAAGAUUAAUACCGGAUGGCAUAAUUAUUCCGCAUGGGAUAAUUAUUAAAGAAUUUCGGUUGUCGAUGGGGAUGCGUUCCAUUAGGCAGUUGGCGGGGUAACGGCCCACCAAACCUACGAUGGAUAGGGGUUCUGAGAGGAAGGUCCCCCACAUUGGAACUGAGACACGGUCCAAACUCCUACGGGAGGCAGCAGUGAGGAAUAUUGGUCAAUGGACGAGAGUCUGAACCAGCCAAGUAGCGUGAAGGAUGACUGCCCUAUGGGUUGUAAACUUCUUUUAUACGGGAAUAAAGUGAGCCACGUGUGGCUUUUUGUAUGUACCGUAUGAAUAAGGAUCGGCUAACUCCGUGCCAGCAGCCGCGGUAAUACGGAGGAUCCGAGCGUUAUCCGGAUUUAUUGGGUUUAAAGGGAGCGUAGGCGGGUUGUUAAGUCAGUUGUGAAAGUUUGCGGCUCAACCGUAAAAUUGCAGUUGAUACUGGCGGCCUUGAGUGCAACAGAGGUAGGCGGAAUUCGUGGUGUAGCGGUGAAAUGCUUAGAUAUCACGAAGAACUCCGAUUGCGAAGGCAGCUUACUGGAUUGUAACUGACGCUGAUGC
rnacentral:rRNA from 1 species